rnacentral:rRNA from 1 species
GAUUGAAGGCUGAAAUUCGUCCUUCAUGAAGCUGGAAUUGCUAGUAAUGGCAGGUCAGCAUACUGCCGUGAAUACGUUCCCGGGCCUUGUACACACCGCCCGUCACACCAUGAGAGUUGGAAAUACCCGAAGCCUGUGAGCUAACUGUAAAGAGGCAGCAGUCGAAGGUAGAGCCAAUGAUUGGGGUGAAGUCGUAACAAGGUACC